rnacentral:rRNA from 1 species
AACGAACGCUGGCGGCAGGCUUAACACAUGCAAGUCGAGCGCCCCGCAAGGGGAGCGGCAGACGGGUGAGUAACGCGUGGGAACGUACCUUUUGCUACGGAAUAACUCAGGGAAACUUGUGCUAAUACCGUAUGUGCCCGAAAGGGGAAAGAUUUAUCGGCAAAGGAUCGGCCCGCGUUGGAUUAGCUAGUUGGUGAGGUAAAGGCUCACCAAGGCGACGAUCCAUAGCUGGUCUGAGAGGAUGAUCAGCCACACUGGGACUGAGACACGGCCCAGACUCCUACGGGAGGCAGCAGUGGGGAAUAUUGGACAAUGGGCGCAAGCCUGAUCCAGCCAUGCCGCGUGAGUGAUGAAGGCCCUAGGGUUGUAAAGCUCUUUCACCGGUGAAGAUAAUGACGGUAACCGGAGAAGAAGCCCCGGCUAA